rnacentral:rRNA from 1 species
UACAGAGGUCUCAAGCGUUGUUCGGAUUCAUUGGGCGUAAAGAGCUCGUAGGCGGCUUGUCGCGUCGACUGUGAAAACCCGCGGCUUAACUCCGGGUCUGCAUUCGAUACGGGCAGGCUGGAGUGCGGUAGGGGAGAUCGGAAUUCCUGGUGUAGCGGUGAAAUGCGCAGAUAUCAGGAGGAACACCGGUGGCGAAGGCGGAUCUCUGGGCCGUUACUGACGCUGAGGAGCGAAAGCGUGGGGAGCGAACAGG